GUACGUGAACCUGCGGAAGGAUCAUUAACACGUAUCCAAACGUAAAACCCCCCCCGUGAACCUUGACCCUGCUCUCCUGACGUUUUGUGAUUAUCUUGCACAAGAAGCGCGCCAUGCUGGUAUCUCACAUGUUUGCUAGCAAGGUUUUCCCAGGGCGGAGUGUGGAUAGAUGCGGUAAGCGUUGCUUUGUCUGUCAGUGUCAUUGUGAUUGGGGAUAUCUGGUGUCUGACAGUGUCAUCAGUUGUGGACG
rnacentral:misc_RNA from 1 species